AAAGAACUCUUAAUUCAUUGAAAUGCGAUAGAAGCGUAUGUAAGAUCGCCAAUAAUAAUGGCUAAUGAAACUUGUUCCCAUACUCGUUCUGAUUGCUUCAUGUAUACUUCGUGUAUAUAUCAAAUAUCGAAUAACUAUGUUGUUUAUUGUUGAGGUUAUUAGAUGUAUAAAGAUGUAAGGUACAAUUGUAGUAUCGUGGGGAAAAAAUCUGGUUAAAAACUAAGCAAAACAAGGUCGCCUGUCUUUCGGUUAUUAGUUUACAUAGAAAAAGCCGGUGUGACCAAAGUCACCUAGUUCUUGCGAAGCGUUAACAGGACGGAAUUAGACAAAGGGAAAAAUAGCGCUAAUGGAGGGGAGCGAUUCGAAUCCAAGGAGCGGUUAAUCGAAAAGUGAGAGUGGGUCGAGAGGGCAGAAUUAAUCGAGGAGUCGAAGAGUAGAGUUAUUAGAGUUAGUGUUGUCGCGUUGCGUUGUUGAGAGUAGAGUUGUUAGCGUUGCGGAGUUGCCCACAUCAAGAGAAUGAAAAGUUACGAUUAAAGACCUAAUUUUAAAUUACUUCAUUUUACUUCACUGUUAGAUUUUUAAUAAGCUAACAAAAUGCUAAUUUUAUAAAAAUUCAUUACCUCCAAGUUUUUUUCAAUUUGACUAUCAACUUUUGAAAUAAUCCAAUACAUACACAAGCUUAUGAAAGCAUUUCAAUAAAGCCGGUAUGUUGAGCACGUGACAAGAAUGGCGAUAGUGAUGUUUACACUGAUAAUUCGCAUGAUUGCAAACUAGCGGUACUUUCCUGUACGAGUGUUGAGUAUGAAAUAUGAAUAUUUUCAUGAUACUUGUGAAUACUUUCACGAUGAGACGAUAGGGAAACGAUAUUUCAAAAGAAGAACUACAAAAGGGCGAAAAACCGGUCACUGCAAGGAUAUGCAAGGACGAAAAGUCGAUCGGACAGAAAUGUAUCGAUAGAUGAGCGAUCAAUAAUCAAUAAUUUGCGAAAAUUAGCGUAGGCGCUGUAUAACGCUUACAUUUGUAAUACAUGCAUGUUAGACGAAGUUGUCAUUACCGGCAGGGUUGUGAAGGCAUCCUGCCUUCUUUUUUUUAUAAUUUACACGCGAUUUCGGGACAUGAAUAUAAAAGUUUUCUAUAAGUUUUUAGUUUUCGAUAAACAAGGCAACAAAUAAAAUGUUUUGAUACAGGAAAGCAGCCUUAUGUCGCGCGAACAUCGGAUCCAACAACCAAUUCCAACCGAAAUCCGCGUUCCCGCGGAUUCAUCUGCGACCCAAGGGAGAGAUUGAAUGCUGCAUUUGUCAAAAGAGUGCGCGACCCUAUCGCGUGGCAGGAACAAUAGUGAUUGAUCCUUCGUGUUAUUGUGUAAAACAAAACGAAAAAGGAACAACAAGAAGCACACAAUACUAUAAUGGGCACAAUUCAUCGUGGCACGAAGGAACACGCCUCAUUGCCCGGGUGCACGAAUCGUUAAUCCGCCGACUUCAAAAGAGUUAGCAAUUAAACAUAUAACGAACCUAAUCGUGACAGAACGUUGUUUACGUUUGUGCAUUGUUUAAUUACAAUAAUCUCCCAUGGGCUUAUACGAAUGACGAAUAAUGAAAGCAACAAAGAAUGAUUCACCUCACGUGAGAUUUGAUGGAGAAAAAUUAUCUAAUGACACGAUUUUUCCAUGGAUCUCAUUGUUAUUGGAAGUACAGAAGUACUGAUGAUAAUAAUAUUUUCAAAAACAUUAACGAUGUACAAUUGAUCCAGAAAUUUAAGUGCAGCUUAUAAUAAAACAAAUUUGAUUAUAACAAGGCUCUAUAGAAUUUCAUAACAAAAUUAAUGUAUUCUACAUCAAGGAGAGCAAUUAAGAGUUAUUUCAUAAUUCAAACAGAAUUCUCACAAAAUAUUAAUAUAAACUACAACUAAUGAUAAGACUGCGCAAAUACUGUUUUUCUUUCUUCUUAUCUGGUUAAACAGUUGAACUAAUAUCAUUAGUGAAAUUUUACAAGUUACAAAUCACAAAUUAUUAAUAUUAACAGAUCCUGUUACAUAACAGCAACGAAUUUUAUAACAAAGAAAAUGAAAUUUUACAAAUAAGUUUUAUCAAUUACAAACCAUUUGAUUAUCUUUUCUGAUGUAAUAUUGUGAAAUUAUAAGACUUAGAAUUUGUCAAUUUGCCAAUAGUAUCAAUUGGCAAAUUAUUGUGUAAAAAUGUUUGUGUAAAAUAAUAUGUUAUGAAAUAAAUAUAAUAUUAAAUGAAAAUUUGUAUUACUUGAUGAAGAUUUCUGUUAACAACAGUAUGUCAAUUACAACUAAGAAGUGAUCACGUACUACUUAUAUCAUGAACUUUUUUUGUAAUAUAGUAGAAUAAGAACUAUAUGAAUACCUACUUACAAUAAUAUUUUUCAGUCACUAAAUUAGUAACUUCUUGGAAAGGUACAGAGAAGUAUGUAUUAAAUAAUAUGUUGCAAUUACGUAUUAUACAUAUGUAUAACGAAAUAUAUCAAUAUUCUUUAUUGUACUGAAUAUGUAUUUGCGAAGACUAUAAAUAGUUUCUCUUAAGUUUCUUUAUCCAAACUGUAUGCUUACAUAUUGCUUGAUCUUUUCUUUGAGAUAAGAGAAAUUAGAGUCGUUACACUGUAUCAUGUUUCAAUUCGAUGACAGUUCUGGAUGUGUUUUUUAAACGGCUUAGCUUUUAGUUUGAGAUGUGUCAUGGUCGAAAGCACCGGAAACAUCGAAUAAAGCGUAACCCCGAGGAAAAUAAAACAUGAGAUAUGUUCUUUUGAUUUAAUUGCUACGACACCAACAUGAUCUAAAAUUAUGGGUAACAUUUGCUGCAACAUAUGAUAAUAAGGAUUAUUUAAAUUUUAAGCGAUACAUAAGCUUAGAUAAUCUUUCCGACACGCCAAAGAUAAAAGAAUAUUAUUCCUAUGUAAUAAUAAGUAGAAAAAAUAUAAGGUUACUUAGGUCUUAUAUAUUGGACAAUUAACUUAUUACAAUUUUAUAGUAUUGUAUAUAUUUAAAAUAAUUCUUGUUAUCUGUUACAGACUUUCAGUUUUAGAAGUUUUCAUCUUUCUAGCAAUUUGUACGCCUCAUUAGAGCCCAUGUGUAUUUAAAGUAUCACAAAUAAAAUAUAAAUAUAGUGUUUGUACGAUAUUUACGAGUAUUUUAACGAUAUUUUUCAUUCCAAUUAAAUAGUACAAAAAAUCUAGUUAUUAAAAGUAUGAAAAGAAUGUAUGCAAUAAGUUUACACCAGAACUCCGGAAAUUUUAUUAGUUUUAUCAUAUACAGUUGCUCAGAAAAUAAAUUAAUGCUUUUGCUAAAUAUUUAAAUGUAAGACUGUUAAUUUACUUUCUGAGGCGACUGUAACUUAAGUUAUGUUCAAUAAUUUAAUAAUUUCUUUGGCUAUUUUCGUAAUUAACAAGUUUAUGCUUUAUUAAAAUGUAACACAAAAAUCUAAAGAAUAAUCUUUACAGAAAGUUGACUGAAGAUUAAACUGCAAUUAUAAAUGUAUUUUAUUUAAAAUUCUGCAGUACAAACAUAUGAUGAACUGACUAAUGUACAAUUACAA